AUAUAUAUAGUUUCAAAAUCAGAGCUCUUUUAAUUAUUCUUUUUUCCAUGAGUAAACGGAUUAUGGAGAUCAGUGUGAUAACUUCAAAGUCUGUGGAAAAAAAAAUGCUUUUCUUAUCUCUGCUGGUAGUCACAAUUAUUGCAUAGAUUGAUCCAAUGCUUGUCAGAAACUUGUAAUAUUAAUGUCAUCUAAUUGAAGAUAAGACAUUACUGUAAUUAAACACUUAAUUUGUCAAGUGAAACCAAGUUGCCUUUAAGCAAAAUGUAACUAAACAACCAUCCUUGGGAGAUUUAUCAAGCUUCUAUUUCAUUAAAAUAUUGUAAGGAAGUAUCUGUCAUGUCUUUAGAUAAUGUCAGGCUGCAGAAGUAUAAGCAUUUCUAUACAGCCUGAGGUUGAAUAACUUCAUCGUAAUCUUCUGCUUGCUGUAUACUUGGUUGUUUUUUGUUUUGUUUUUUUUCUCCAGGUCUAAAGUAGUUGCCACUGCUAUUUGUAAUGCUUUCUGCUUGCAAACCAUGUUCUUGGUUGUGCACUUUGCACUAAAAUACUUUUACAGAAGUAUUAUGUGAAAAAUAUCUAAGCAUUUCCUAAUCUGUUACUGGAGUUUACAUUUUUCUACACUAAGAGCUGUGGGUGAAACUUGUAUAAAUACAGAUAAUGUACAUAUAAGACUUUAUAAAAUGUUUCAAGGGGAAGUUACUGGAAUAAGUUAUUAAAGAUGCUCAUAGAAAAGGGACUCCGGCUUAUCUAGGAGUUUGUAAUGUUAAUAGGUGAGGUUAUGGUAGAAAUGAGCUUGUUAUUUCAGCAGCACUGUAGUCCCAUUACUUGAGUGGCUGAUGGAAUAAUGAAACGUGUUUGAUAUCCUUGAAUUGGAAGUACUGAGUUUUAACACUUGCUUUUCAGGCAAAAAGAAUAAGGCUCAUGUGUGAGCCAGGAUGGUUCAUUUUAUUUGUAUAGGAGUAAAAUGUCUACAAAUGAUUGAGUCUUCUAAAUUUGAAGUUGUUAAACUUAUCUGAUGCAAAGCCCUAAAUCUAAGAUGAACAAACAGCUUGAGCUAAAAUAGGAAUAAGUGCCAGAAUGAUAUAUUUGUUGUAAAAACUGAAAACUUUUUUUUUAAACAUCCAGCGUUUAUUGCCCCCACCUGCCAUGAUUGAAGAGCCUGAAACUACUCAAACUCAAGAGUCUGAAGCAGAAGUUGAAGUGCAGGGUAUUCAGGAAGAUGCAGAAGAAGAAAAUAAGGUAGAAGAAGAAAUGGUAAAGGAAGAAUUGAAAGUGUCAGAAGUGGAUGGACAUAGAACAAUGCCAGAACACCCUGGAAGAGACAGUGAUAGUGAAGACAGUGAACCUGAGGAUGAGAAUGAAAAAUAAUCCAAGUGAUGUUUGUACUCUUACUUAUUCUGGAAAACAAAUGGGAAAAUGCAGUUAGAAAUAUGAUUGCUAUUUUUACAUUGACUUUUCUUAAAUGAUUCCGUGUGUGAUGUAACCUUUUUGUUCCUUAUUUUCACUGAAUCCUUUCUGGGAAAAAAGAUGAUUUGCAGUCGUUCUACUGAGUUCUUGUGAGUACCAGUAAUGUAACUUGUUUAUUCACCUCAAAUGAUAUAUAUAAGUUUUUUAGUAAAGAUACUUUUACACAAAUUUGGAAUUUUUUUCUUAAGCCUUUAAUUUCAGUUAAUGAGUUAGCUGUUAAACUUCCCUGAUUACCUAUAUUUAGUAUUGAUCAGACACUGUAGUUUCCUUAAUAUUUUGCAGUGGAGAAUUUUUUACAUGGAACGGUGUUUAUAUACACUGAGAUAUUGUAGAUUUUGGCUUGAGUUUAGUAAGCUAUUUAAUUGCAAGUUUGAGAAAUGGGAAUUACCAUGGCACUUUGAAAUUUUGAAAGAGUUUUAUUGAAUUGGAAGUUUAGCAAGCUCUCAGAAUGUCACAAGGUCCAGGUACUUGUAGCAACUGUUUCAUUGUUGACUGCCGCCGCUGUUACUACUUGAUUGUCCCUUACACAAGAAGUAAGGGUGCAACUUCUAAACGGCAUUAUUUUUUUAAAUUAGAAUCUUGAAAUAAGAUCUGUUUCAUUUUUAAGAGAACAACAGGAUAAAGCUCCAUCAGGAAAGUAAAUAAAAGGAGUUCCUUGAAUGCAGGAUUCACAAAACAUGUAAUAUCAAUAUUAGAGAUGUAAUGGGUGAGUAUGUUUUCUGGAGUGAUUUCUAAAUGUACAUCUUUCAUAAACUGAUCAGUGAAAGCUUUUUCCCUAGCUUAUUAAGACUAUCUGUCAACUGCAAAUUAUCCAGUGGUUCAGGAAGGUUUAUGAAUUCCCAAAUUUAAUUUUCAAGCAAAACAGUAGCUCUAGGAACAUCUUUACUGACAAAGAGAAAAUACUUGGUUUUCAAAUGUUGCAGUUCUGAAGUUGCCAGAAGAAUUUCUUCACUAAAUUGAUCAGAAAUUCAUUAGCUUGCAAGCUUUUAUUAUCACAUUUGAAGAUCUUUAUCACAGAAUUGCAGGGUUCAGAAGGGAUCUCAAGAUUGAGUCCAACUCCCCUGCUAAAGCAGGUACGCUACAAUAGGUUGCACAGACCCAGAGGGAUCUUGAAUAUUUUUUAACUUUUUAUUCACAAAAAAGAAAAACUAGUCUUUUGACUGAAACUGUGUUAUUUCAUUACUUGUUCUGAGUGGAAGAUAAUUCUUUGCCAUUGAAGGACAAACAGCAAUGUGUUUAAUGUUAGGAUGGUAAGGUUUAUGUGGUAACAUUCAUGUGUUCAAGCAGGGCAGAAUAGUACUGGGCCUUCAAGCAACAUACAACAAGCUCAAGCUGAUGUCUGCCAUCUCUGUUUUCCAAACCAUUUUUUACAAAUAUUUGAGCCAGGCAAUCAUUUAUUAUACUUCAGAAUUCUGGGAAAAGAAUUAGUAAGGGAUUCUUGAGGGUGUGGAGUGUUUUUUGUUUUUUGUUUUUUUUUGGCUAAAAUGGAUGGUUUAACUGACAGGGAUUCCAUCAAUAAAUACUACAGGGGAAAAGCAACCAAAUCUAGAAGAGACUAUGAAGAUUUAGAUUUGUAUAUGGCUUGCAGUGUAAUCUUUCUGUUCGUGUAUGAGCACAUCUAGCCUGUGUAAUACUGUGUACCAUGUGCAAGCCUAUGUAUCUGGUCCCUUCUGACUCAUGGGAUCCUCUUAAAACAGUUAAGUUACAGUCAUCAAAUGUGUUGCCCUAAAAUGGUGAGCGGUGUUGUAAUGGAGCUCGUUGCUGAUUAGCAUGAAAGCAGAAGCAACUGAAUCAAAAGCAAUUGCAAAAACAUUACAGCCUUAAUAUAUACUUUUCUGAAAGUCCAAGCAUUGCCUAUACUAAAGAUGGAAAGUUUUGCUGAAUUGACUUAAACUGAGCAGACUAUUCCAGCUGCUUUCCAUGUACUGAACUUUACACUUUUCACUGAUGUGAAAGUGUUUUCGAAUGUGGGAAGUCAUGUUUACCAUGUAGCAGUGGUUAGAAAGUUCUUUGUACUUGUGGAAUACAAGGUUAAGUGUGAUGGCUUUUUUUUUUUUUAAAUGUUGUGCAUUUAAUUUUUGGUAAAAGAUGAACAUUGUCUUUCACACCAAAAUACGUUUAGUUUUUGUUUUUUAUUGACUCUUACAAGAAAGAAUUAGUGGGAGAAGCUUAACAGCCUAAAAAGCCUAAAAGUUUGCUGCCAAGGGGGGGGGGAAACAAUGCAAGCUGGAGGUCUUAAUGAGCAGUUUACACUAUGAUGACAUACAUAAACUUCAUUAAAAAAAAAAAAAUUUUUUUUUCUCCUAGCCUGCUCCAAAUUUGCAUUAAUUCUGCUGUAUGUGUUGGAUAAGGUUCUAACUUUUUCCAAAAGGUAAAAAAAACGUCCUGCCACUUUACCUCCUUCUGAGAAAGGGUCUUUGCUGUUUCAUCAGACAUAAAAGGAUAUCAGUCUUCAAGGAAAGUAUCCCAAUGAGGACUAGAAAUUAAGAUUGUUGACGGAAUGACUUUGCUGACAGGAAGAGUCAUUUUAUUCUUUGAAAUCAGACAUUUAAAAACAAAAAAAUGCAGUUGAUGUUGCUCACUUUACUGGAUGAUCAAGACAUACAAUUCUAUUGAAAUAAGAAUUAGAUAACAUUUGGAAAGUCAUAAAGCAAGCUGACAAAAGUAAAUGUCCUAGCCAACGAGUGAAUCACAACCCACAGCAGUCAAGAAUCUGUGAAUGCCAUUAAGACAUAUGGCAGUGUAGUUCCCUCUGCCAAACAUGGUAGUCCUCCUUGCAGAAUCAAUACAAAAUUAAUGUGUUCAGGGGAGUUUUGGAGGCUGUUUAUGUGUUUCCUUUUACGUGGCUUUUCAGCGUAGUUUUCUUAGAGUAUUUUUUCUCAGGAUUUAUUGGUUAAGUACCUGACAAAAGAAAAUCUCUGUGCUGUAGUACUAAUAAACACAUUUUAAAAUAAAGCUAUUAAAAUUGUGAAUUUAAAAAUAACUUCCUUAAAUGAUUUCAGCUCACCAUCCUCUGUUAAGUCCGUGUAUUUGCCUAAUUUUAUGUAGAUUCUGAAAAGGUAUAAUUCUCAAUUCUGAGAAAUUGAAUUCUUCCUUGCCCAUAGAUGUAUCUACACAAUCAUUACCUAAAAUGGAUGCAAGAGGAAGAAUCAAUACCUGUAAUGCUACUUGCUCUCUGUAAGUAGUUGUUUCAGAAAACUAAAUACCACUAUUGGAAUGAGAAAAUGAUCUUUUCCUCCCUCCCCCAGUAGGUAACAAGGGCAGAUUAUUUCUCCAGGCCUUGCUCUGGAAGGGCUUUAAUCAGCUUAAUCUAGCCCGUAUCAAAGGUAAUGUAAUAUGGUGCUACUGAGAAAAACAGUUGCAUUUAAUUUAGCUUCCAUCAUGAUUUUCAUUCACCUUGAAAAGAGAAAAAUGACAAGGAUCUUUAAAUCAAGUAAUAACAUCUUUGUAAUGCAGAGAAGCCCAUUGCUUUACUGUUAAUGUCUGGAAAAAAAAGAUAAAGCAAAAUAAGAGUUACUUGAGCUAUGAGUAAGAAACUUUUCCAGAGUUCAGGCAUUAUCUCUUUGCUUGAAAAACAGUGUCAGAACAGAGUGUGUUUCUGUAUGCAUGUAUAAUUAACUUUUAGGAAAAUGUAGAUGUAAGUGAAAAGUUGAGCUGACUAUUGCCAAUUACGUAGUUCAUCUGUAAUGCCACUGAAAAAGUAUAUACAUACAUACAUAUAUACAUACAUAUAUAUAUAGCUACAGUGUAUGUUUGCCUAAUGAAACAUUAGAAUUUUGCAAUUCCAGAGAAUACCAUAAAAGAGUAAGCUAAUGAUUCAAAUAAGGGUCAGGAAUAUAUCAGUCUUGGCACUGUUUGUAAGAGAUAAAAAGAAGCCGCCUUUAUUGCAUUUAUCAACUGUGAAUUCCUAAAUUGCCACAGUCCAGUGUAAGAGAAGCCCUGCUACACAUCCAGAGACGCUUCAGCAUCCUGCUGUGCUAGUCUGACAUCUCUUGCAUGUCAAGAGCACUUAUUUUUAGAUGGGACAGUCAUUAGGGACAUAAUGUAUUGUAACUACUGUAGAGGAAGUAGUCUAGGGGCAGCAGAAGCAGAUUGAGAGAAGCUCAGUACAAAGACACUAAGAUUCUGUUUCUGACCUUAAUCCACAGCAGUACAGACUUGCCCUAUUUUUGGGAGUGAUUUUUGGCAGCAGCAAUCAUGUUCUAUUGGGAAAUACCAUGUUUUCUAAAAUGAGAAAUUCCAUGUUUUGCAUGCUGAGUCAGAGAGGGGAGAAAGCGCCUUACCAGUAAUCCUCUUUAGCUUGAGGGCACAUGUGAGAGCACUGAAACAAGACUUAGGGAAAAAGAAAGGCCCAAGUGUAGAAGAAUUGUCUUACUGUUUGUCACGGCUUGGGCUGGGAUAAGGUUAAUUUUCUCUCUAGAUGUUCAUAUGAAGCUGUGUUAAGGAUCUGUAAUGAAAAGAGUGGUGAUAACACAUCGGUGAUUUUAGUUGUUGGAAAGCAGUGCUUACACAGUCAAGGAUUUUUCUACAUCUGUUUUCAUAGUCUCUGUUUUUCAUCUCUCUUGAUCUCCAACGUACCAUGAAUAAAUGUUGUUCCUACAUACAUAGAUACUUCAGUGAUGGGGCUAUUGUUCUAGAUUCCUCCUUGCUUUUGUGGUGUUCACCCACCAGCUCUAUCAUUUUGAGCUCUGUAAUGAAAUGAGACACAAAGGACUGCUGCUGGUUCUGACUCAUUUUGGUUGGUUCUUGAUCCUAUGCACAGUCGCUUCCUGCAACAUCAAGCUGUAACACAUAUCCUUAUUAACUGGACAGAAGAACUUAGCAAAUGUAGAUUUAAAUGCUCCAGAUGAAUUCAGUGGAAUACACAUGAGAUCUUGUGUAUCAGCAAAUUUGCAGGUUUGCCCUGCAAAUUCAAAAUUCAAAUUUAAAACAAAACAAACAAACAAACAAACAAAAAAACCUCUAUUUGGAUUUGUUUUACUGUAUUUAGUAAUGAUGUCUUACAGUGUUCCAAGAUGAAUAUAAUGGAAUGAAAAGCCAAUGUAAGUUAUUGUUGAUGAUCUUGUACAAUGUUGGAGAAGGUUUAAGAGAGCAACCUGUCAGAAUUCCACCACAGUGAGUACUAGAGGAGAGCAUGUUCCAUCCAAACUCAUGAGGAACUGAGUCAAGAAUUUUCAUAUUAUUUUCCUAGGCCAUAGCUAGAAGUGCUCAGGUUACCUAUAUACAAACAUAACUUUAUCUGGGUAUGGGAUGUCUCAAAUGCUGAUUUCAGGGUCCAGUCUGUAGCUAUUUUGUCUAUUUCAAAAGAAUUGCAAGACAACAGGAUUCCAUGAGAUUACUGGAGGGACUCAAUGCUAAAAACACAGCAAGAAUCCUGGGAUCUCCAUUAGUGCAUUCAUUUGUUAUGGAUAUCCUUAGCCUUUCCCUCAACUGCUUUCAUCAAAUAACUUCCCUUAUGGCACCUGUCUCUCCCUUAGGCUGCCUUUCUCCAAUAAGAAGGUAGAGAACAAACUACUGCUCAUAACUUCUCAUACUCAUUCAAGAAAAAAGCUGGCUUUCUCAAGUCAGCCAGUUAAUUAUUAAGCAGGAAUCUUCCCUCUGCUCUUCAUCAUCUGACAUGAGUUCAUGAUCACAGCCUACUGGUCACUGGACCUUUUUCUUUCUACUCAGUAACUUUUAGCUCGCUGAGUGUCUCUGCUUUUUCUGCAAUCUGAUUGCAUUACAAGGAGUUGAGGGGAAAGACACAUGCCGAUACUGUAUGCCUGUGAAAGAUGUAAUGUGAAAAUCACUGUCCAUGUAAGUAGAAAUGUGUAUUAAGAUAAUCUGCCUAAACUGCCAAACUGCUGAUAACCUAGUUUGUUGCUGCCCAAUUCUGAAUUUAGGCCACAUACAUCUCCCAUGGAACCUGAUAGGAUUAGGUGGGAGCAAAGUCUCAAAAGCCUUCCCCCUCCUACCCCCCCCCCCAGGUCCAGCUCUAUGCUGGAUAGAUAAGAGCAGAUUAAGAAAAUGCAGUGCAUGAUGCAGCACCCUUUUCAAAUCAGUUAUCUUGGAGACAUAAACAACUAGAAUGAUUUUUUUGGUAACUCUGAGAAAAAUCUUGAAUAUGUUCAUAGUGUUUCUGUUAAAUUUUGUGGGCUAUCUAGAUACUAAAAUCUGUUCAGAAUAGGGAAGUCAUUCAAUAGAACAAUACAGACUGCAUUUUCCUUUUUUUUUUUUUUUGGCUUUAAGCCAGAUUUAGGACAGCUUGGAUACAUUAGCACCUGAGAUGCCUGCAGACAGUUUUAAUUAGCUGUUUACCUAGUUGGUUCAUGAAAGAUGAUAGGAGAUUGAGCACUAAUUCUCAAGAUCAUUUCAGUGACUACGUGCUCACAGUGAAGAUUUGCCUGUUAGUUUUCUACUGGGAGAGAAACAAAGCUUUACAACAAAAUUAAGCACUUGUGUAUCAAAGAUGAGAUUGAAGAUGUAAUACUAGUGUUUGGCUAUGUCCUGGGCAAUUUCUUUACUUGAAUUUGCUCUUCAGCUUAAGUUCAUUGGCUGUUUAAAGCUUCAGCUGGCUUACCUGCGGUGUUAAAACUGGGAACCACAGGGCACCGAUGCAGUUACAUUUUUAACCUUUUUCAGUUACAUUUCCAACGGUCACAGUGAUGCUGGCAGCAGGUGGUGCUGAAGGGAGCAGAGGUUAAGAGACCAAGCAGAAAAAGUGUACACAUUUCCAUCUUUGUGAGCAGAGGGUCUACACCAGUGAAUGCCUGGAAGAGAAAAUCUGAUCAUUUAAUGCACCAUAGUUAUGCUUUAAAGACUGCUGAAAAAAUGAACAAUGCAGAGACAAAGUGCUCUGACAGCUCACAACACUUCUCAGCCACUGCGGGAGAUAACUGUUAAUAAUCUUGUUGGAUAACAGGAUGUUUCCCAGGAAAUGUACGUGACCUGGUUUUUGAUACGUUACACUUCUGUUAAAUGUUUCAGAUGAUGAACUGCAAUUGCAUAGUAUGGGGAUCCUUUUGGCUCAUUGUGCUGCUGUUUCUUGGCUGGCCCAUAAGCAUAGCCUUGUGUGCCCUCCAUGGAUUCCUUUCUCCUCUUGCUACUUUAAUAGGACUGGAUGAAUUAAGUGAAGUACUACUGAAGGGUGCAUGUCUGGGGAGACAGUGUGCUCAGAAUGUGCGUAAUGGCAAGCCCCUCUGUUAAGCAUUGAAGACAGUCCUGCGUAAAACAAGCAUUCAGCUGUAUGCUACAAGAUUUCAAAAUUUACUCUGUGAAUCAUACAUUUUUUUCCAGUUCUAAAUAAUUUAUUAUUUUUAAAAAAGUUUUUCAGUAUGUAUAUUUCUCUUCUGGAUGUCUGGAAACUUUAGCAAUUCAGAAGUUUGUCACUGAGAAUUUACAAUACAAGUUGCAGCUGUUGUUUUGAAGAUGGGUAAUGACACUGUACAUGGAGAAGGUAGCUAAGUAUGUGAAUAUGUGAAUAUUUGUGAACAUUUUAUUCUACAGUGCACAUUAUUUGAUAGUAAGAGAAGUGAAAUUCUGAUGUCUUUAUAGCAUGUAUCUUUUCCUUUUUACAUUUCUGUUCUUUCUUACUAUCUUUCCUUUAAACAAGACCUUAGUGAUCUUUUGUUCUAUGACCUCACUUUGUAUUAAUCUCCAGUGAACAGCAGUUUUUCAGUGGAACAACUUUGCUGAUAUGGGUUCACUGCAUUGAUUUUCAAGUACAUUAGAUAAAUAAAGAACUUCUGUAAACACA